CCUACGGGUGGCAGCAGUGGGGGAUAUUGGACAAUGGGGGAAACCCUGAUCCAGCGACGCCGCGUGAGUGAAGAAGUUUUUCGGUAUGUAAAGCUCUGUCAGCAGGGAAGAAAGAAAUGACGGUACCUGAUCAAGAAGCCGCGGCUAACUACGUGCCAGCAGCCGCGGAAAUACGUAGGGGGCGAGCGUUAUCCGGAAUUACUGGGUGUAAAGGGAGCGUAGACGGUUAAGUAAGUCUGGAGUGAAAGGCCGGGGCUCAACCCCGGAACUGCUCUGGAAACUAGUGAACUUGAGUGCAGGAGAGGUAAGCGGAAUUCCUAGUGUAGCGGUGAAAUGCGUAGAUAUUAGGAGGAACACCAGUGGCGAAGGCGGCUUACUGGACUGUAACUGACGUUGAGGCUCGAAAGCGUGGGUAGCAAACAGGAUUAGAUACCCCAGUAGUC
rnacentral:rRNA from 1 species